AAAAGGUGUGACAUGUUUGUCAUUCAUAUAUCAUUUUUUUGCUAACCUAAAAUGUUUUAUCAAAUGACUUGAAUUUGCUGUUUUUUUAGUUAUUUUUUACGGUAAUUUUACAAAUUCGUUACGCUAAAUCUCGUUUGUAUCGUGACACCUAUCGCUUAACAUUUUGAUUUUUUAUCGGGCGACAAUAUUUUAAUGAUGAAUUUACGUUAGUCGUAAUAAAAUGGAAAACGACCCGAAUAGCACAACGGCGGGUCGCGAGACUGGGCGAUGUAUGUCGGUGGCUGCGAUGCAGGCGCUACACCGGUUGCGCGAGUGUCGGCUGCUGUGUGACGCGAUAGUGCGUGCGGAUGACGGUGCCGCUUUUCCAGUUCACCGCGCCAUACUCUCGGCCUGCAGUCCAUACUUUUUGGCACUUUUUACAACAACACUACACUCGCGCGAGCAAAGCGAUGUGCUUAUAUCGGGCGUGGGUUCAGAAAUUCUUCUUCUUUUAAUCGAAUACGCUUACCUUCGACGUAUUGAAGUUACUGACAUCAACGUAUACGAGCUCCUAAUGACAGCAGAUUAUCUCGCCUUCCUUGGAGUACUUCAGCUUUGUUGUGAUCAUCUCAGAGGCUCGCUUAACCCUAAAAACUGCCUGGGUAUCAUGAUGUUUGCCAGACGGGUAUUUUGCUAUAAAUUAGAAGCCGAUUCUCGCAGAUAUUUGUUACGUUACUUUGUGACUGUAGCUACCCAGAGCGAUGAGUUCCUUCAUUUACCAAUUGAUGAACUAAACAGUAUCAUAUUAGAAGAUGAAUUGAAUGUUAAGAGCGAGGAGGUCGUAUGGGAAGCUGUUUUACGUUGGGUCAACUAUAAUCGUGAUAUACGUUGGCAUCACACCGUUAAGCUUAUGGGCAGCAUAAGACUUGGUUUAUUGGAUACACAAUUCUUUUUAGAAAAUGUCAAGGAUCAUCCAUAUGUAACAGGAAACGAAAGCUCGCGCCCCAUCAUUAUUGAAACUCUUAAGUUCCUUUACGACUUAGAAAUGAUUGCUCAGCGCGACGGUGAAGUGGCUACACCAGAAAUUGCGCGACCACGAGUUCCACAUGAGGUAUUGUUUGCAAUUGGUGGAUGGAGUGGUGGGUCGCCGACGGCUUUCAUUGAGACCUAUGAUACACGAGCAGACCGGUGGAUUAAGGUAGAAGAAGUAGACCCAGCUGGUCCUCGUGCUUACCACGGCACUGCUGUUUUGGGUUACUGUAUCUACGUCAUAGGCGGAUUCGACGGAAUGGAUUAUUUCAAUUCUUGUCGUUGCUUUGACGCUGUUACCAAAAUCUGGCGAGAGGUAGCACCUAUGAAUGCGCGUCGUUGUUACGUGUCCGUGGCAGUGCUGGGUGAAACAAUAUAUGCAAUGGGUGGUUAUGACGGUCACCAUCGUCAGAAUACAGCAGAACGGUUCAAUCACAGGACCAACCAAUGGUCAUUGGUAGCGCCUAUGAAUGCUCAAAGAUCAGAUGCGAGUGCAGCGGCUUUAGAUAAUAAAAUUUAUAUAACGGGGGGAUUUAAUGGCCAAGAGUGCAUGAACAGUGUGGAAGUAUAUGAUCCUGAAACAAAUCAAUGGACGAAUCUAGCAACUAUGCGCUCGCGCCGCUCUGGCGUCUCCUGUAUAGCUUACCACAAUAAGAUUUACGUGAUAGGCGGUUUCAAUGGCAUCUCGAGAAUGUGCAGCGGCGAGGUGUACGACCCUAACACGAACACAUGGUCGCCAGUUCCUGAUAUGUACAACCCACGAAGCAACUUUGCCAUCGAGGUCAUUGAUGACAUGAUUUUCGCUAUUGGCGGUUUCAAUGGAGUCACCACCAUCUACCACGUCGAGUGCUACGAUGAAAGAACUAAUGAAUGGUACGAAGCAACUGAUAUGAAUAUCUACCGGUCCGCAUUAUCAGCAUGUGUGAUUAUGGGACUUCCAAAUGUUUAUGAUUACAUCCACAAACAUCGCGAGCGUCUCAUGGAGGAGAAACGCCAGAAGAUCUUGCUGUCAGAGACUGCUCGACACGGCCAGCAUCGCACCGCAUUACCUGAUGUUCAUUUGAUCGAAGACAAUGAUGAUAUGCUGGAGCAGCUUGGUCUGAUGGAAAACCAAGCUAACAACGUCCCUGUUCCACCACCGCCGCCACCACCUCAGCCCAUGGAGCAGGAUAGGCAUUAAUACGCCAUUAAAUAUUACCCGUAAAUUGGAAUUCUGAAUUAUUUUAAAUAUGCUAUAUUUAACAUAAUAGGAGUUCAAUUCCGUGUAUUCGAAUAUAAAUUAAGCGUCUGUCACACCAAGCGUAUCGAUAUAACAAAUACCUAUAUAGUUAGACGUUGGAAUGAAGCUAUUUAGAAAUCAAUAAGUCAAAUUUAUGUGGAAUUAAUACGAUUUUAAAGAUUAUUAUUUACAAAAUAUUUACACAUAUUUAGCACUUUUGGCAUAUUUUAAUAUGAUGACUUUUCAUAAUGUGAAUCAUUUCUGUAUUUUGGAGUAUUUUUUUUUAAAUGUUUUAAAUUUUUC